rnacentral:rRNA from 1 species
AGUGAACGCUGGCGGUAGGCCUAACACAUGCAAGUCGAACGGCAGCACAGUAAGAGCUUGCUCUUUCGGGUGGCGAGUGGCGGACGGGUGAGGAAUACAUCGGAAUCUACUUUUUCGUGGGGGAUAACGUAGGGAAACUUACGCUAAUACCGCAUACGACCUACGGGUGAAAGCAGGGGAUCUUCGGACCUUGCGCGAUUGAAUGAGCCGAUGUCGGAUUAGCUAGUUGGCGGGGUAAAGGCCCACCAAGGCGACGAUCCGUAGCUGGUCUGAGAGGAUGAUCAGCCACACUGGAACUGAGACACGGCCCAGACUCCUACGGGAGGCAGCAGUGGGGAAUAUUGGACAAUGGGCGCAAGCCUGAUCCAGCCAUACCGCGUGGGUGAAGAAGGCCUUCGGGUUGUAAAGCCCUUUUGUUGGGAAAGAAAAGCAGCAGGUUAAUACCCCGCUGUUCUGACGGUACCCAAAGAAUAAGCACCGGCUAACUUCGUG